rnacentral:rRNA from 1 species
UUCCGGUUGAUCCUGCCGGACCUGACUGCUAUCGGAUUGAUACUAAGCCAUGCGAGUCAUUGUAGCAAUACAAGGCAGACGGCUCAGUAACGCGUAGUCAACCUGCCCUAUGGACGGGAAUAACCUCGGGAAACUGAGUAUAAUGCCCGAUAGAACAUUAUACCUGGAAUGGUUUAUGUUCCAAAUGAUUUAUCGCCGUAGGAUGGGACUGCGGCCUAUCAGUUUGUUGGUGAGGUAAUGGCCCACCAAGACUAUUACAGGUACGGGCUCUGAGAGGAGUAGCCCGGAGAUGGGUACUGAGACACGGACCCAGGCCCUAUGGGGCGCAGCAGGCGAGAAAACUUUGCAAUGUGCGAAAGCACGACAAGGUUAAUCCGAGUGGUUUCUGCUAAAGGAACCUUUUGUUAGUCCUAGAAACACUAACGAAUAAGGGGUGGGCAAGUUCUGGUGUCAGCCGCCGCGGUAAAACCAGCACCUCAAGUGGUCAGGAUGAUUAUUGGGCCUAAAGCAUCCGUAGCCGGCUCUGUAAGUUUUCGGUUAAAUCUGUACGCUUAACGUACAGGCUGCCGGAAAUACUGCAGAACUAGGGAGUGGGAGAGGUAGACGGUACUCGGGAGGAAGUGGUAAAAUGCUUUGAUCUCUCGAUGACCACCUGUGGCGAAGGCGGUCUACCAGAACACGUCCGACGGUGAGGGAUGAAAGCUGGGGGAGCAAACCGGAUUAGAUACCCGGGUAGUCCCAGCUGUAAACUAUGCAAACUCAGUGAUGCAUUGGCUUGUGGCCAAUGCAGUGUUGCAGGGAAGCCGUUAAGUUUGCCGCCUGGGAAGUACGUACGCAAGUAUGAAACUUAAAGGAAUUGGCGGGGGAGCACCACAAGGGGUGAAGCCUGCGGUUCAAUUGGAGUCAACGCCGGGA